GGUCUAUACUGAUAUCCAAAGGCAACCUAUUCACUGGGGGCAAAUCAAAACCAACCUUGAGAAAAGAGGAAAACCAAAAUUUAAAGUUACAAAGUUUGGGUACAUUGCAUCUAUUGAAAUUGAUCCCGUGAGCCGUUCACCCACAAUGAAGGCAUCAUUUGAGUUAGAGGCAUAACUGCCUUUGCUUCUUCAUAAAGCUAUGCUGGUAAUUAAGGCUAUCAAAAUUAAAUAAUAGUGUGCUGCCUGCUGCUGCAUUACCUGUACUACUGUUAUGGUAAUAAGUUUUGAUAGCCAGUACAACCAUUAGAAAGUGUGUAGGCCUUCACAAUCAUGUCAGUGCCAUGUGUGUAUACAUGGUUGACUGUUUGUAUAAUACUAUGGAAAAAUAAAACAGAAUGGCCUUUACUAUUUUAUCUUUUGACUCAAUUUAUACUCUAUGUUUUCUCCAACUUCUGCGUCCAUCCAUCAAAUCAUCAAACGACAAACCAGGAACCAUAACAUAGUAAAUCGGACAACAAAUAAACCCCCAACAACAAACCAUGUUUCCAACAGCAGAAUAAAACAUAACUAGCAUCCCAGCAACUCAAUACAUAACCAGUAGCAGCAACUGCCACCAAGUUUUAAAACAUGCUGGAUUGGUAAAAGUCAGCAAUGGUCAAGCCAUCGGUUACACAUUCUACCUGAAGCUUUGACAAUACAGACAUCACCAAUAGCUUAAACCAAAUCAUCAAUGUCAACACAACUUUCUUGUAGAAUCCAUGGCCAAUGGAGCUAAUUUAAAUUCCGUAACUGUGUAUGCAAUCAAUGUUGGGUGGGAAUGCAAUCUAAUUCAAAUAAAUCUUACUUGAGUGUGUUUGUUGGAUAAAAUUAGGUCUCUCUCGUUUGUAACUCUAUCGGUAAGUUAAAUUCUAAACGUGAAUUUGUAGGGUUGUUCAUUGAUAAGGAGAUUAAUUUCAACAGCUUUCUCUUGGUUAUCAAUAAAUUAAGUAGAGACUGAUUGCUAGGCACGACAUUGGCAACUUUAACUAAUCUAUUAAAAAACAAUAAAAUUAUCUUUGCAUCGAUGAUUAAACUUGUGAAUCAAACGGAUAUUUUACAAUUGGCUAGAGCUCCAUUUGAUUGGUAUUUCUUCAAUUUUUAUUAUUACCUUCUUGGUUAAGAUUUAAAUUUAAAUUUAGUUUUUUAUUUUCUAAAAUCUCCAUCAUAUUUACUUUCCUUGUUUUUGUUUUAAAAAAUAAAGUUAAUAUCAAUCUCUAUGAAUACUACUCUACUUAAUACUAUGUACUAAAUUUAUAUUUUUUAGUAGGAUUUUAUUUUUAUAAGUCUCCACAAUUGUACAAAUUUUAGCCUUUUUAUCAUAUAUUAAUGUUAAUAAUUUUAUCUCUUUCUUGUUUUUAAUUUAAUUUAAUUUUUGUUCCUUUUUAUGUUUUGGUCUUUCUUUCUUUUUUCUGUCAUAAAAUAUAUUUAUUAAAAUUAAAAUUUUGAUCUUCUUGUGUAGGUGAAAUAGUACAAUCUUGAGUUAGAGAGAACUGCUCGAAGACUAAGGAAGAGAGUUCAAGCGAGAACUAACCCACCGUCUUCAUUACCCAACUAGUUACAUAGAACAACUCAGUCGAUUCAUCUACCGAAUCAAAAGGAGAAGAACCAAUUUCUCUCUUAAAAAAUUCUGAAGCAACAACUGGUAUGCAUUGAGUAUCUUAGAUUAGAGGUAUCUUUUGAAUCAUCUAUUGCCUACUUUUUGUGGUCAAGAAAACGAAGAUCCUCAUAAGCACUUGAAGGACUUCCAUGUAGUGUAGUUUGUUCUACUAUGAGACGACAAUGUGUGAUCAAAGAACAAACCAAACUAAGAGCCUUCCCGUUUUCACUAGCCAACAAGGUGAAGGAUUGGCUAUGUUAUCUACCUCCUGGAUUGACAUGAUAAGAUUAUUUUCGGAUUUUUUUUACGUCAUGUGCUACUUCUACUAGGAAAAAGUUACAGCAUCAAGCAAAACGGCAUGGAGACUCCACGAGUAUUGGGAGAGACUUAAGCAAUUAUGUGCUAGUUGCUCCCAUCAUAGAAUUUUGGAACAAUUAUUCAUCCAAUAUUUUUAUGAAUUACUCCUACCCAUGGAAAUAAAUAUGAUGGAUGUUGUCAACGAAGGUGUCAUAGUGAAUAAAACUCCUCAUGAGAUCAGAAAGUUAAUUUCGAUCAUGGCUGCUAAUUUGCAGUAGAUCAAAUUCAGCUAUGACAAACCGAUAAGAGUAAAUGAGGUAAAUGUCACUUCUCUUUUAAAAUAGAAUUUCUGAACUGACUUCUUUUACUGAUCAGAUGGUUGUAGGAAACUCUCGUCAUGUAAAGGGUUGUGGGAUCCGUGUAUAUUCAAUCCAUAAUCGAGACAGAAUAAGGAGUCACCCACUUGGUUGGAAAUUAGAAAUUCAAUGGGAUAGGAUACUUUAUCCGAUUGGAUCUAACAUUCUGAAGAGAUUAGUAUGUUGUUUUUAUGGCCAUGUUUUCCAGACCAUGAGGCAUUCAACACUUUGAAACACUGCUUAGUUAAUCUAUACCAUACUUAUGUGUUUUAAUGAUGAGUUGGUGUGAUGGAUUAUUACUUCAGUUUUAAAAUUAUUAAAAAAUUCUUUUAUAUACUAAUUAAAUUAUAUUUUUGUAAUAAUAUUUUUUUAUUAUCUUUUUUACAUAUAAUAAAUCAAUAAAAAUUUGAUCAUAAAGAUAUUUGAAUUCAAAAUAUCAUGCAUAGAUAUUGCCAUCCCAUUUUUUUUAAACAAUUCAUCAAAUUUCAACUAAAAUUGCAUAUCAAUUUUCAAUUGAUUAGAUAUUAAUUUUUUUUAAAAAUUAAAUAAUGUUAAUUUUCAAUUGAUUGAAUUUUUUCAACACUUUCUCAAACAGGCAUAAGUUUAUAUAUAAAAUUUAGCACAAAUACCAACAGCUGGUAGCGCCCGCCCACGAGUCGUAGAAGUAAUCGGAUGCGCUAAUGGUUGAGUGAUACCCAAAACAAACUGAGCCUUCAACCUUUGCCUAUGAAAUUUGUCAGCAAAAUCGACAUCAUGUUGCGAGGAAAACACCUCACCCUUCCAAAAAAAAAACAAGUUAUGAUGGAACCAAAUGCUCCACAAAAUAGUAAGAGUCCAACAAACUCUAUUAACAUCAACUGACUCAAGCAAAGUGCGAAUAAAAUGGAGAACAUCAAAAUGCGGAUGUGGGAGUCCAGAAUAUUACCAAACCACCCGAGUGAGCGCACAAGAAUUAAAAACGUGAUCAAGCGUUUCCAACUCUCCACGUCGGAUACAAAUAGAAGGCACAUUUAAUCCUUUAACAAUUAACAUUGCCUUGGUAGGAAUAAAGUUUCUGAGACACCUCCGAUGGGAAAUGGCCAUUCCAAAUCUUCAAUCAAGGACCACCGGCUUCAUUCGAAACAGAAUUGGAAUACAAAUCAGAGGCUAACUUGCAUCCUGAUUUUAUUGAAUAUGAUCCAUUACUAGACCAACGCCAAAUCAUCUUAUCCAAUCCUUUAUGCAGAGCUAUCGGGAUCUUAUAAAUGCAACUACAAUCAACUUAUCUCAGACAUCAUCGGUAUCACUAAGUAAAUCGCACACCUUCUAAUGUUCCAUACCCAGCAAAGGAAUAGAAUCAAUAUAGAAAUUAUAUAUAUUCAGGUCAGGUUGGGCUCGGGCUUAAAAACUCUACUCAAGGCCCGAACGGGCCUAUACAUUUUUUCAAGCCCAUUUUUUUAGCUUUAUCUACUUGUCCAAACCCUCUCAUAUUUCGAGCAAGCUUUCAAGUUCAGAGGGGUAACUUGACACUUAGACAACUCUAAAUUAAAGCAUAGUAAACAAUUAACUUUACAUUUAUAAUAAAAAAUACCAAUUGAUUUUUAUGUGAAUUUUUAAUAAAUAUAUUUUUAAAUAACUUUAUUUUUCAUUUAUAUUAUAAAUAUAAGUGUAUCAUAAAUCUCGUAUUUAUUAAACAUCUCACUUUAAUAAAUAAGUAAGGAUGCUAACAAACAUAUUCCUCUAUAAUGGAUCAGGGAGCUGAAUAUAUGCUUUAAAAGAUGGUGACAAUUAGCAUGUAUACACACACACACGCAUGUAUACAUUUCAAUUAGCCAGGUAAAAGGCAAAAUCAAGCACAUGCACAUGAUAAUGAUGAAUGAAGGCACUUGCAUAUUCCCUUUUUUUCCUAAGAAAAACAAAAAGGAAAUUAACAUGCAUAUAUUCAUUUGGUGAGAAUAUAUAUUUGGAAGGCAAAUCCUUUUAUCUGCUCACCUUAUUUUGGAAUUAUGAAGUUUAAAGUGGAUGCAACCACAAAAGAGAUGUCUAGAUCGAUUAGGAAUAUAAUAUCAAAUAUUCUGAAAGAAAAAGAAAUUUUUUUAAGCGUAACAAGUAUAAUAUAGUUACAAAUAUAAAUAAUCAUAAAUCGAUCGUUCUAAUAUAAUCGAGAUUAACAUUAAAUUAAGAUUAAUUAAAUUAAAACUCAAAAACCUUACGUAAAUAUUUAUGCAUAGUAAGUCUUAAACUGAAGUACUUACGAUCCAAGAAAUCCAUUUUUGUCAACUGAACUAAAAUCUCAUUUGAUUGAAUUUUAAAUAUUUGGUUAUUCUUUAAAAAUAGUAAAAUAAAAAUUUUUCAAAAAGUAAAAAAAAAAAAUUAAAUCUAGUAAUGUCAUUAAUAUUAUACAUGCUAAAUUGCAUGUACACAAUUUUUUUAAAAAUUAAAAAUUACAUAAAAUACGAUACGUUAGAAAGAGUAAUUUGAUAUUAAAAGAAAUUCAAACGCUAAUUUAAUACGAAAUAUAAUUUCUAAAAACUCUUUAGCACGAAAAUUUAAUAUCCUUAGUAAUUGGGUUCGGUUAAAUAAAGAUGGUUCAAUCAAAAUCGAAGAAAGUUUCAUUGUGGCUAGAGGAUUAGUGAGUAACCAUAAUAGGGGUGGAUAAUUGGUUUCGACAAAUACUUUGGAAAUUGUACAGUUUCAAAGGCUGAAUUAUGGGGUGUAUUUGAUGGUCUAAAACUUAUUAGAGAUCAAAGCUUUGAUAGAGUUUACCUUGAAGCUGUUAACACAAUUCAGGAAAGUUCCUUCGGAGACUCAAAUUCCACUUUAGUUAAAAGAAUUCAUUAGCUCUUAAGAAGGAUAAAACAUUGGAGGAUUCAACAUAUCCUUCGAAAAGAGAAUUUAAUUGUGGAUAGAAGAACAGUGUAAUAUACGAAAAAUCCUCUUUUGGAGAAGCUAGUUUAAUUUAGUUUUUUUUCUUUUUGCUUUAUUUUACAAAAAAAGAAAUUGAUGUUAAAAUUUUAUUUUAUAUUUUUCUCCAAGAUACAAUUUUCAUCUAUAUUUUUUUUUCAAUCAUCCACGUAAUAAAUGUGACGUAAUCUAACAUGAUUUUAACUUAAAGAGUAUCUUAUGCUUUCGUGACUAUGUUAAGUGGCUUUUGGAAAUUCAAGAUUCCACCAGUUCUUAUUUAAUAACUAUUAAUGUUGUCCGAAAAUGAUUUUUAAAAAAUAAAUUGAUUUUAAAAAAAUUGAUAGAUUUUAUUGUUUGGAUAAUUUUUUGUAAAAUAUUUUUCGUUAUUUGAAAAAUAUUUUUGAAAUCAUUUUAUAAAAAUUGUUCUUCAUGAACAAGCAUAGCAUAAAUAUAUUUGUUGCAAAAUAUUAUAAUACAAUUUCCUUUUGACAAUUUAAUUUAAUUUUAUAAUAAGAUGAUACUUUGUAAUAAUCAAUAUCAUAUAUAAACUUGAUAAUAAAUAAUGCCUAAUUAAAAUUUAAUUUACUUUACAUAUAUUCUAUAUAUGAGAUAAAUUAAACUAAACAUUAUUUAAACAAAUACUCAUAUUUCAAAUUUUAUAUUAAGUUACAAAAUUUCAUAAGUCCUUGUAUUCUUUGUAAAUUUUAAAUUUAGUCCCUAUAUUUCUAUUUUUGAAAAUUUGAUCAUAAUUAUAUUUAAACUCAAAACAUCAUGCAUAGAGCUGUUGUAACGCCCCAAAAUCUUAAACUUUCGAUUUAUUAAAUUUUAUUAUUAGUCAAUAUUUGCUUCAGUGGUUAAUGGUCUUUAGUGUGGCUUGGAGAUCACUAGUUUGAAUUUUUGCGUGGGUGUGGGGUGAUUUUAUUUUGUUAAACGACUUUGAGUGCUGUUUAGUGAACGGAGUUUAUGUUAAGAGUUGAACUCAACCUGUAAGGCUGUUUGGAUUGAGGGUUUGUUUUGAAAAGAUUUAGCUAAUUUAUUUAUUAUUUUAUUUUGUUUUGUUUCAAAACUACCCACUUUACUCACGUUACCUAUCUUUCUCCCCAAUUUUGUUUCAUACAUUUUUCUUUUCUUCCUUUUUCUUUCAAGCUACUAUGUUUUUGACGUUCUUGCUGAUUUUCUUUUACCCAAAUAUUUCGUCUUUGAUUUUGAUUCUUCUUUUUAUUUUAUUGAUUGCCAAGCUGAGGUUGCUUAUAAUCUCUGUUUUUUUCAUUUCUUUUUCUAUUAUUUCUCCCUGGUAUGAUUUAGUGACGUUGGGUAAGUUUUAAUGCUAUUCUUGGAUUUAUAAUUUUUGGGGGCUUGGUUCUUUUGAUGUUUGUUGUGAAGGUUUAGUUUGGAAAUUUGAUUUUAUGUGAGUUAUGUUUAGGUGAGGAUUGUGUGAUGGUGGGUUCUUCGACGAAUUGGAUUCGCUCAAGUUGUGAUCGAUAGGAGGUGAGUGUUCUGCUAUUAUGGGGUUAGUUCGUAUCGAUUUCUAGAUUCGUUCAUGUAGGAUUUGUUACAUUAAUCGUUUAAGUUGGAGAAAUUAUGUUGUUAAUUUGUAUUAUUUUGUCAAUUUAGGUAUUAGAAUAUUUUUUUUUGGAGUGUGCAUCAGAUUUUUGACCAGGUGUGAGAAACCCAAAAAACAACAAACAACGAAAGCUAAAAAAUUGUAUUGUCGACACCACACGGUUGUGUGGUAGGCCGUAUGUUGGACCGUGUGUGACGCACGGUCUAGGCUAUUUGGGCUGUGUGGACCACAUGAGUGUGUGGGCCAUACUGGCAUGUGUGAGGCCAUUUGGGCUACACAGGCUAGGCCAUUUGGACCAUGUGAGCCCAAAAUUCUAAAUUUUUCUCUAGGGUCGUACACAUCGUUCUGAUCGAUCAUAGGCCUUCUGUGAGGUCGGUAUGUGAUCAAAUAGACUUUAAAGCAUGAAAUCCGGUGAACUGUUAGUAUAAAUUAUGAUAUCUAUUCAUAUAUUUGAGAUGUUAUUUGUUAAAUAAACCUUGUAAUAAGAUAUAAGAAACCCGAGAAAUGCUAUGUAUGUUUUGUAUUUGUUAUGUCAUGCAUGUAUAAAUGUAGCAUUCUGAUUAUGUUUUGUUCUAUAUUUGCAUCUAGGAUGGGUUAUAUUAUGUGGAGGAAGUGUUUUUGUGAAUGGCGAUAAUUUGUCUAUUACACUGGCAACUUAAUUGCAAAUAUUCUGAAAAGUGUCAUAUCGACAGUAAAUGGUGUGUAGGGUUGGAUGGGUAUUUCAGACCAUAUAUGGUGUGUUGGGAUGGUCGGAGAUGGUGUGGAGCGGAUGGGGGUAGGAAUAUAUGUAUGUAUCUGUACUUCUCUAAUAUGAAUCUGUCGCAAGUGAAUAUGAUAUACGAAUUGUGCAAGUGUAAACAUCGAAUCAAAUAAUAAAGUGAUUAGUGUGUAUCGUUCCCACGAUGAUCGAAUUAGGUACACAAAUGGUCAAUAUAAUAUAAUAAAAUAUGAUUAAUACUAUGGUAAAACUAUGGUAAGUAUGCAGUGACAAUUAAAAGGAAUAAUGAUGUAUGCAAUAUAUGGAGUUAAUGAAUACUUGGAAAUGCUAUGGCAAAAUGAGAGUAGGAAUGUAAUGACAAUUAUGAAAAAGAUUAUAUGAUUAAUAUGUAACUGACAAAUUAACAACUAAGGAUGUGAUGUCAAAGAUACUACGACAAAAGGUAAGGGUUAUGCGAUGUUGAGUGGGAAGGUCGGGAUUACUAAGAAUCUACUUUUUCUGUCAGCAAUGCCUUAGAAAAAUCAUACUUAACCUACUUCUUUGAAGAGUUCUAAAGUGACCUGCUUCUUUCGGAAGUAGAAACAUCAAGUUACCUCGCCUGUGUCUAUAGGCCUUUGAUAUGGUACCCUGCACUUUUUCCUUCUGUAUGAACGUUGCUCUAUGUCUAGAGUCUACUACAAGUAUCGGUAGAGUACUCGCUCAUAUCAUUCAACCAUGGUCUAACUAAUCUAACCUUUUAGACUUUAGAUUAAUUUAAGGGUAUGCUGCAUAGUCGACUAUGUCUAGGGAUUGCUCACAGACAUUUUAAAGAAUAAAACAAUUGAAUGAAAUAGUAAAAUAAUUCAGAUUUAUAUUGUAGUCAUUAAAGACAGUUAAAGUUCAAUAAAGUAACCCCAACCACAUGAGAUUUAGCUCAUAGGUUGGCAAAUAAAAUUUAACUUGUCGUUUUCAUCACUGUAAUUAACGAAUGAACAUAUUAGAAAUAAUGGAAGAAUGUCGGGAAGACAGUGUUCACUUGUCCAAUCAACACUCCAGCUGCGCAGUGUCCUGAGGUGGUUAAGAGGGACUGCCUUUGUUUUUCCUUUUCUUGUCUCUAUUCAGCCUCUACCUUUCUAUUGCGCCUCAGGUUCUCACCUUUUGUUCACUUCUAGGGUUUCCUCCUUUUCUUCUUUUUAUUUUUUCUUUUUCAGAAUAACUCCAACGGCUCAAGAUUUAUCUUCUCCUCUUUUCUAGGCAGAUUUAUCUGGUACAAGUAGAGUUGGAUUGAAACUGAUAUAAGUUAAAUGUUGACUAGACACCUUUUUAACAUUGCCAUGGCAUACGAAUUGGAAAUUUGACCACCUUUUUGCCCUAGCAAAACUUCACUCUUUUAUUUCUUGUUCCUUACCCUACACCUGCCAAUACCACAAAACACAACCUUUUCACAAGCAAUUAAAAGUACCUAAUAUUUAAGUGCAGCCCAAGUUCUAAUGCAAUGCUAAAAAUACUAAUUAAAUGUCCUAAAAUGCAACUAGAUGUACUUCAGUAUAGGCAAUUAACUAGGUCAAAAGGCAUGAAAUAUAACGCUUGAAACAAGAGUUAUCUGUCUGAUAUAAAUUAAUUGUUUAAAGUUAUCCGUUAUACACUGAGUUUUGUAAGCUCACUUUCUAUUUGUCUAAUAUUUUCAGGUAAUGCUCAAACUUAGGUGAACUGGUGUGAUAAAGCUUGGUUAAAUUGAUUUAGUUUCAUUGUUUAUUUAACUUAAAUUUGGGGUUAUUGCAUUUCAUUAUUAUUGGACUGUUGAGACUUUUUGGACUAUUUUGAUUUUGGGGAUUUUAUUUUCAAAUUUUGCAUGAUACUAUUAAAAACAUUUUGUCGAAAAUGUUUCUUUUCCUACAAAACAACUGAUUUUGAGAAAAUAAACUUGGUUUUCCAAAAUAUAACGAUCUGAGAAUUUCCGCUGCUAAGUAUUCAUUUUAGAAAAUGUAAGCAAACAUUGUUUUCAACUAUAAAGUUAAGUUGGAUGUAUUUUUCUAUUAAACUGGGGUUUAAGUAAUAAAAGUUUACAACAUUUUCCCAAAAUUUACAAAAAACUGGAUUUACAACCGUUUAAUGUAACAUCUCCAUAUUUGAUCAUAACGUCUAGGCUGGGCUUAGGUUGUUACAUUUAGUGGUAUCAGAGUAAAGUUGCAAAACUUAGGUUGUGAAAUUCAAAAUUGUUUUCCGAGUAAAGUUCCUUUCUACAUUAAUCGAAAAAAUAAUUCUGUGAAAUCCCAAGUCUCCGGUGUCGAUUCUGUAAGUACUUCUGACUUAGAUAAACCUUAGUUUAGAAAACUUUAAAUUGGUUAGAACCAUACUGUGAUAAUUAGAGACUGAAACAUCUCUGUAUAUUCUUCUAAUAAGUUUUUGAGCAUAAAAUAUCUACUAAUAAAUACUGGAACUGAUACAUAAAAUUUGUAAUGUAGAUAAUAUAUACGAUGAGUACUUAUGGAACACGUAGACUCGAUACCCGUUUGUGCGGUGGGCACCGAAGAGGGGCUCGAGCUGAGUCAUCCUUGAUGGGUAGUAUGCCUAAUUUGGAUACAAGCGAGACAUCAGGUACACCUACUGCUGAGACUAGGUCUCAAAGUUGCUCGGCUGGGAUCGACUCAUUGUCCCAUGCCAUACUCAAGGAUUUGGAGAGGUCGUUGGACCCAUUUUGGUCUUGAGAGCCGUGGGUCAGUAACUGAACGAAUUUGGUCCAAUGGUGCUGAAUUAUUCAGGGGUGUUACUAGAUUCACCCCAGCUGUGGCCGAAUAUUGGUAGGAGGCCACAUAGAGGAUUAUGAACGAUAUCACUACACCCCUGAGCAUAAAUUAAAAGAUGCAGUACCAUUGCUUUGCAAUGUGGUAUAUCAGUGGUGGUUGACGGUUGAUAAGGGUACUCAGUCGAAUCAGAUUACGUGGGAUCAUUUUAAGAGCGCCUUCCAGAGUAAAUAUGUGAGGGCGAGUUUUAUGGAUGCUCAUAGACGUGAGUUUAUAAGCCUUACUCAGGGGGAAAAGGCUAUGGUCUAGUUUGAGGCUGAAUUCCUAAGAUUGAGCAUAUAUGCUCGUGGGCUAGUAUCAAAUAACUAUUAUAAGUGUAUCCGCUUCGAGGAAUGCUUAAGAGAUAAUCUCAGGGUUCUGAUAGCUUCGCAAAGGGAGCAGGUUUUUGCCAUCUUAGUGGACAAGUCGAGAAUUUCUAAGGAGGUUAAGCGUGUUGAGCGUGAAAGUAGGGAUCGUGAGAGAGGUAACAAUAAGAUGGAUUCAGAGCCCUCUAGUCCUAUUUCAAGGCCUAAGAAACGGGUUAGAUCUGAUUGGCCUCUGAGGGUUGAGGUUCCUGUUGCUCCUACUGUGGUUCAGCUGUGUAGAAAUUGUGGUAGGCAUCAUCUGGGCAAAUAUUUGAGGAGGUUAGGAGCUUUUUUGCGAUGUGGGUCAAUGGAGCACCGCAUUAGGGAUUGUCCACAGCAUUCUAAUCAGGUGCACGCUCUAGCUCCAGGUUUAGUUUAGCAUCAGCGGGUAGUUCAGUAGCCGCCUAGAGGCUGUGGUACGGCUAGGGGUGGUAACGGUAUAGGUAGAGGUCAAAGAGUAUCGGGGUAAAGGUGUUAAUCAGACUGAAGCUAGACAGUUUGCACUAGUAUAUGUGACUAGACCUCGUAAGGACAAAGAUACCGCGGAUGUUAUCACUAGUACGUUAUUCAUUCAUACUACUCCCUAUAUUGCUUUGAUAAAUAUAGUACCGACACACUCUUAUAUAGCUAGUUCUGUCUUUGUGAACUUGGGUAUGUCUGUUAAGAGCACUUUUGGAGAGAUUACUGUGGUUAGUCCACUGAGUCAGUCAGUUCGGGUUAACAGGUUUUAUAGGAAUGUACCACUGGAAUUUUAAGGGGUUGUGUUUACAGCUAAUUUGAUGGAGUUGCCAUUAAGAGAAUUUGAUUUAAUUUUGGGAAUAAACUAGCUCAUAGAACAUCGGGUCAGUUUGGACUGUGCUACUAAGAGAGUAGUUUUGAGAUUUGAGAAUGAUGUGGAAGUGAUUAUAAUUAGCGAGUGUCGGAAUUACUUAUCCAAUGUGAUCUCCGCUCUUAUGGCUGAAAAGUUGGUUCGUAAAGGAUGUGAGGCAUUUCUGGCCUAUGCGUGUGAUUCAACUUCUGUGGAUUCAUUUGUUUAGUACAUUCAAAUGGUUAAGGAGUUUCUGGAUGUCUUUCCUGAGGAGUUGUCAGGUUUGUCUCCGGAUCAGGAAGUCGAGUUCAGUAUCUAGAUUAUACCAGGUGCAGCUCCGGUGUCCAUUGCUCCCUACUACAUGGCACCGAAAUAGCUUAUGGAACUAAAAGCUCAGCUUCAGGAACUCCUCGAUCGAGGGUUCAUUUGACCUAGUGUGGCCUUAUGGGAAGCAUCGGUUCUAUUCGUAAAGAAGAAAGAUGGUACUAUGAGGAUAUGUAUAGAUUACCGUCAGCUAAAUAAAUUGACGGUAAAAAAUAAGUACCCAUUUCUGAGGAUCAAUGAAUUGUUUGACCAGUUUCGUGGGGCUUCUGUGUUCUCCAAGAUAGAUCUUCGUUUCGAUUAUCAUUAGCUUAAGGUUAAAGAGGUCAAUGUUCAUUAGAUUGCUUUUAAGACUUGUUGUGGGCACUACGAGUUCCUAGUCAUGCCAUUUGGUUUGACGAAUGAUCCGGCUACAUUCAUGGACCUUAUGAACCGAGUCUUUCAACCAUGAGAUUUUGGUAUACUCUAAUAGUGAAGAUGAUCAUGAUAAUCAUCUUAGAGUACUUCUUCAGAUACUCUGUGAGAAACAGAUUUAUGCUAAGUUAAGCAAAUGUGAGUUUUUACUUAAGGAAGUCACCUUUCUGGGUCAUGUGGCUUCUGCUGAGGAGAUCUGAAUUGAUCUUAAGAAAAUUGAGGCUGUGCUUGAGUGGAAACAACCUAAGAAUGUUUUUAAGAUCCGCAGCUUCCUUGGGUUAGUGGGUUACUAUCAGAGGUUUGUCGAGGAGUUUUCACUUAUCGCAGCUCCUCUAACUAAGUUACUGCGUAAGAACGCAUCAUUUAUCUUGACUGAUGAGCAGCAAUCGAUCUUUAAGAAACUCAAUUUUUUUUACUCAGGCUCCUGUUUUGAACAGUUUGAAUGCAAUAAGGAGUUUGUGGUUUAUAGUGACACAUCACAGGUUGGUUUGGGUUGUGUUCUGAUGCAAGAUGGUAAGGUAGUGGCUUAUGCAUCCUGACAGCUUAAGUCACAUGAAGGCAACUAUCCCACGUAUGAUUUGGAGUUAGUUACGGUGGUCUUCGCCUUAAAAAUCUGGAGGCACUAUCUGUAUGGUGAAAGGUGUAUCAUUUACACCGGUCACAAGAGCCUCAAGUAUCUCUUUACUCAGAGAGAGUUAAACCUUAGGCAAUGUAGAUGGAUUCAGUUGCUUAAGGACUACGACUACACGAUUGAGUAUCAUCUCGAUAAGGCCAAUGUGGUUGCUGAUGCUCUUAGUCGUAGAGUAAUGUCUGACUUAAGGACAAUUUUUGCUCGCCUAGGUCUAUUUGAUGAUGGGAGUCUAUUAGUCGAGUUGCAAGUUAAGCUGACUUGGAUUGAUCAAAUUUGGGAUAAACAGUUGGGGGAUGAUUCUCUGGUUCUAUGUUUCUGUCAGGUUGAGGAAGGAAGUACUACUGAUUUUGGAUUGAACAAUGAUGGAGUUUUGUGUUUCGCAGGUCAAGUCUUUGUGCCUAACGACUCUGAUUUGAGGUAAUUCAUUCUGCGGGAAGUGCAUAAUAGCCCUUAUGCUAUGCAUCCUGAAUUUUUAGCAUCAAGAAUAGGAAUAAAAAAAAGUUUUGAUAUGAAGUCUACAAAUUUCAUGCGCAUAAACAUUGUUGUUAUGGACAAUGCAUGCAUGGUGUAAACUACUAUAUAAGUAGGUGUGUAUUGCAAUAUCCGAAGCAUAACACAACCAAACCAAAGCACAUAGAAAGCUACCAUGGCUUCUUCUUAGAAAAUGGCUCAACAAACCACAAACGGAAAGCUUUGGAACUCUUCCAGCGAAGCUCUAACCUUAACUGACAAGAAAGUUUGGCAAAGCUCUCAUUAUGCGAAUUUUCCAGAAAUAAUUGAAGAUGGAGAUGCGGGCGAGUUUACCCAUGAAUCAGUGACUGAUGAUGCUGAUAUUCCAGGUUCAGUUGCUGGUCUUGUGUACAGGCGACGUGAUUGAACAAAGUGGGUUGUUGCCUGGAGCAACCCACUAGAUGAGAACAACAAGGUAUAUAUUAAAUUCAAUUCAAUCUUAUCAUUAAUUAACUAGUUAGAAUGCGUAUAUAUAAUCAUUUAAUCUAUGAUUAUUGCAUGCAUGCUGCAGGUCUAUACUGAUAUCCAAAGGCAACCUAUUCACUGUGGGCAAAUCAACACCAACAUUGAGAAAAGAGGAAAACCAAAAUUUAAAAUUACAAAGUUUGGGUACAAUGUACCUAUUAAAAUUGAUGCCGGGAGCCGUUCACCCACAAUUAAGGCAUCAUUUGAGUUAGAGGCAUAACUGCCUUUUGCUUCUUCAUCAAGCUGUGCUGGUAAUCAAGGCUAUCAAAAUUAAAUAAUAAUGUGCUGCCUGCAGCUGCAUUACCUGUACUACUAUGAUAGUAAUAAAUUUUGAUAGCCAAUAUAACCAUUAGAAAGUGUGUAGGCCUUCACAAUCAUGUCAGUGCCAUGUAUAUAUACAUGGUUGACUAUUUGUAUAAUAUUAUGGAAAAAUAAAAUAGAAUGACCUUUACUAUUUUAUCUUUUGACUCAAUUUAUACUUUAUAUUUUCUCCAACUUCCUCAUCGACCCAUCAAGUCAUCAAACUACAAACCAGGAACCAUAACAUAGAAAACUUGACAACAAAUAAACUCCCACCAGCAAACCAUGUUUCCAGCAGCACAAUAAAACAUAACUAGCAUGCCAGCAACUCGAUACAUUACCAGUAGCAGCAACAACCACCAAGUUUUAAAGCAUGCGAGAUUGGUAAAAGUCAGCAAUGGUCAAGGCAUCUGUUACACAUUCUACCUGACGCUUUGACAAUGCAGACAUCACCAAUAGCUUAAUUCAAAUCAUCAAUGUGAGCACAACUUUCUUGUAGAAUCCAUGGACAAUGGAGCUAAUAGCAACCCAAAAGUAAACAGGACAACUUUUUCGCUGAGAUAUCUAAUCUCGUGGUACAGGAUGGUUGAGGUUAAGGCUUAGAUGGUUGUGGAUUGACCUUGUUUGAUUACGGUAAGAUUGUCUUGGGAAAGCAUCUCUCGCAAUUGAGCUGGAGCCUUGGUUUCUAUAAGUCCAUUUUAAAAGCUUCUUAAAUAACAUACUGAAAAAUAGAUAAAGAAAAGAGAGUAAAAAAGGUACGCUGGGAGCCCCAGGAUAGUUAUCCCCAUAAAAACACAAGAACCAGAUCAAAACUUGCCCAAACAUGUAAAAGCAAAAGAACUACAAAACAAAAUCAAACCCACUAUUAGAACUUACAGUAUAAAAGAUCCCACAACGCCAUAAACAUUAUAUGAUCAACUGUCAUUCAGGCGUCAUCCACCUCAAAAGCCUCCUAAACAACAUACCGAAGAAAGAUAAAAGAAAAGAGUAGAGAGUUUAAAAGGUACCAUUUCAUACAGGAUAAGGUUUUCUCUCUGUAAUAGACUAAGUAAUUUAAAGUGAAAAAAAUGUAAAAUCAUUGAUGAAGUUAACAUGGAUUGUUAGAAAGUAAUGAUUUGGCAGUUAAAUUCUUUAAGAAGCUGUGAGAUUAUGGGGUGUGUUAUUUGUUUGAUGAGUUUUGCUAACUACAAUUGUUUGCUUAAUAUGAAAACAAUUAAUGAAAGUGCUACACUAAAGUGAUCAUUAUUGCUUGGCACUUGAAUAAUUGUGCAAAUGAAAACACAAAAAAUAUCAAGAUUUAUUUACGUAGUUUAGUCAGUGAGCAAUUCCACUAUCUUUAAUCACAAAUGCAAAAGGUGAUUCACACUCUAUUAGUCCCCAAGCAUAGAGAUCUCACUUUUAUCCCUAAAAAAUUAGAACUCACCUCCAAAAUAGCCAUAGCAUGCAUGGCAUAACCAGGCAGAGUGCACGCGUGCGUAGUAGGGGACUAGGGGCAAGUAGGGCUAGCGCCACGACUCACACCCCCUUGCAAGCCUUGCACAAAUGCAACAGCUUCGGUUCCUUAGUUUGGGGAAGCUUUUAUCUAUUUUUAUAUUCGUUUGAUGUGAAACUUUAAAUUUUUCAUUCGAUCAAAAUUUUGCACAUCACGACAAAGUUGGAUCUUAGAAAAAUAUUGUUCAAACGUUCGAAAACUAGAAAAGUUCAAGAUCCAAAAUAUGCAUUGUGAAAAAAUUUGUAAUCUUUUACAAAUUUUCUUUUUCUAAAAUGGAGUCAUGAAAAUUUUUAGCUGUUUAGAGUUGAUUUUAUUUCUCAUUAUGAAUUAGAUAUUGAUUUUAUUAUGUUUAAUUGAAUGUUGAUAAAAUUGAUUAGCAUGUCAUGCAUAUAUGAUGAAGCAUGUUACAGAUUAUAAAAGAAUGUCACUUGAUCUUAUUUGCAUAUUUAAUCUUUCAUAUAUGAAAUUAGAAUUUAAAACUUUACAUGUUUUUUAAAAGAUUGAGUAGGAGAAGGUCUCUAACCAUGACCCAUAGCCUCUAUUAAUGGUAUCUAAGGGAUAGUAUAAUAAUACUUUGAGCCAGUUUUAACCCAUAGCCUCUAUUAAUGGUAUCUAAGGGAUAGUAUAAUAAUACUUUGAGCCAGUUUUAAUCUGGCUGCAUCCUAUGAUAAGUAUUAUCAUGUGGAUCACAGGAUGAGAUUUUCUUUAAAAGGAUAACAAGUCAUAUAUGAUUCUUAUUAAGAUUAUCUCAUGAUAACUCGAGAAUAUAUUUAUAAUGGUUGUUAAGUUAAUUGUUAUACACUCAAAUUACAUUAGUUAAAUAGCUUCCCGCAAGGCUAUAUUUAAGUUAAAAUAAUGACAAAUGUGAAACCACUAUUAAUAACACAAGUUAUACAUGUAGUUCGGUUUCUAUAUAUUUGAGGAAUCUAAUUGAGUGAUUAAAUCUACUAUCUUUAGUCCUAAUGCAAAAAGUGAUUUAAUACCUAUUACACUCCAGUGUAGCAAACUCACUUUUUUAACUAAAGAUCUAAAUCACCCACCUCUAAGUUCCUCCUCAAAAAUUUAGUCUAAAAACUUCUUUGCAGUAUCAAUUACAAGUCUCUCCAAUCAAUUCCCCUAUAAAACUGUAGUUAAAAUAAUAUAUACAAUAUAAUAACAAAGUCCAAGGUAAUUUGUAGAUACUAGAAAAAAAUAUUCAAGAACUCUCGAUCCAAUCUUAUUUAAAGGGAUCUGAAUGCUUGAUCCAAUCCAAUCCAAUCCAAUUUAAUAUUGAAGAUAUGUUUCUCCAUUUAAACGGUCUUCAAAGAUGCUUCCAAACAUCCAAGAAAUCAUCUAAGUCAUUGCUUGACUGAUUUUGUUGAAAAGAUUAAAACUCCAAAUAAUGCAAGUCAUAUUGUCUGACGCAAUGCUAAAGCAUCUUGGAUUUUAAGUGAAUCUAUUUUCAUAACUCGGGUUUUCUUAUGCCUGUUUAUGUAAAAAAUUGAUUAAUAUUUGGAGAAAUAAAACAAAGAAAAUGAUGUAGAAUAUAAUGGAGAAGAGAAAUAAAUUUUGUAUGGAAGAGAGAAACACCCUUUCUAAUAAACUUUUCUUUUUUAUUUCACACACUCUACAAAUGCUUCAUCACAUACAACUCUUUAUAUAGGAGUUGUAAGUGACUAUUCAUCUACAUCACUUAAAUGCUAUAGGAGUUGUGACUAUUCAUCUACAUGCAUGUGUGUAACUCUUCAUCUUCAAGUCUCUUCAUAUUUCUAACUCUUCAUAAUUUAUUUUGUGCAAGAUUAAUUUAAUUAUGUGCCAACAAUGCCUCCCUUAAAUUAAACUUGCUUCGAACUCCCAACCUUUCAACAUUUUUCUUGAAGACUUGUCCACUAAGCGGCUUUGUGAAGUUAUCCGUGAUCUGAUCUUCCGUCUUGCAAUAUUUAACUUGAACAUCACCAUCAUUUACCAGUUCCCUCAAGAAGUGAUAUCGAAUGCAAAUGAGUUUAGUCCUUCUAUGAAGAACUGGAUCCUUUGUGACCGAAAUAGUAGAACUAUUGUCACAAAACAAAAUCGUUGACUUGUUCUGCUUCUGCUUAAGACUCUCCAAAAUUCCAUGUAACCAAAUCAAUUGACAUCUUGUAUAAGAUGCAAUGAUAUAUUCAGCUUCUGUAGUCGAAAGAGCCACAAAUGAUUGUUUCUUUGAGCUCCAUGAAUCUGCACCACUACCAAGGUGAAAAACAUAACCAGAAGUGCUUCUGCUAUCAUUAAUGUUUCCUUCUAAAUCACUAUUUAUAUAACCAAUGAGAUCAACUAAUGUAUUAGCUUUAUAGAAAAUUCCAUAAUCAAUGGUUCCCUUCACAUAUCUCAAUAUUCUCUUAGCAGCCUCCAAGUGAUUGGAGUAAGGUUUCUCCAUGAAUCUACUCACCAAGCUAACAACAUACACGAUGUCAGGCCUUGUCGAAGUCAGAUACAUAAACUUUCCAACCAAACUUCUGAAUAUGAUGGAAUUGACAAGCUUUCCUUCACCCUCUUUAGAUAACUUCAGACCUUUGAUGCAUGGAGUAGAGAUUGGAUUAGCAUUUUCCAUCUUGAACUUUUUUAGAACUUCCUUUGCGUAGCUCUCUUGUGAAAUAAAAAUUCCUUUCUCGGAUUGAUAAACUUCAAUGCCAAGAAAAUGAUGAAGUUCUCCCAAAUUUGUCAUCUGAAAUUCUGCCAUUAUUGAGUGCUAAAAUUCUUUCAACAUAUUCACAUCAUUUCCUGUGAAAAUAAGAUCAUUAACGUAGAUACUUAAAACCAUGAAUUUUCUUUGAGAAUUGCCUUUGAUGAGUAUGCUCAUAUGGACAUUUCUGGAAUCCACACUUUUGAAAAUAAGAAUCGAUGCGGCUGUACCAAGCUCGAGGUGAUUGCUUCAACUCAUACAAAGCUUUGUUCAACUUGUAAACUUUUUCUUCUUCUCAUUUUUUGACAAACCCUGGUGGUUGAUCAACAUAGACUUCUUCUUUGAGAACACCAUUAAAAAAUGCAGAUUUUACGUCCAUUUGGAAUAUUUUUCAAUUGUUUUGGGCGGCAAGAGAAAUAAGUAACCAAACUGUCUCAAGUCUUGAAACUGGAGCAAGUACUUCUAUAAAAUCUUCUCUUUCCUUUUACUUGCAUCCUUUUGCAACCAGUCUUGCCUUGUACUUGUUGAUAGAGCCAUUUGGAUUCAUCUUUUUCUUGUACACCCAUUUGACUCUAAUAGAAUUCUUGUGUGGCGGCAAAUCUAUGAGCUCCCAUGUAUCAUUGUUUUCAAUUGAGCAAAUCUCUUCUUUCAUGGCUUUCCUCCAUAUUUCUUCUUGAUAUGCAUCAUCAAAAGAAAUUGGAUCUUUUCCUGCAAAGAAGGCAAAGAAUACGACAUCAUUUUGCACAACUUCAUCAGUUACAUCAUAUAACUCUUGGAUACUUCUCGUUUUUCGGAUCGGGCUGAAUGAAGAAGAAUUUGAUGAAGAACUUGGGGAAGCAAGAGGAUUUGCUACUUGAGCAACAUCUUUAACAUUCUCAAUUACUACCUCUUCUUCUUCUUCUAGUUCAAAAGGAAAAAUUGGCAAAUUCUCUUUUCUAACUUCCAUAUAUUUAAACAUGGAAUUUUCAUCAAACAAAACAUCUUGACUUAUCACAAUCUUCUUUGCCAUUGGAUUGUACAACUUGUAUGCCUUACUUCUUUCACUAUAGCCAAUGAAAAUACAAUUCUCUGACUCGUUAUCCAACUUGCUUCUCAUUGCAUCUGGAAUAUGAGAGUAAGCAACACUCCCAAAUACUCUAAGAUAACGAACACUAGGCUUUGUACCAUACCAUGCCUCAUGUGGCAUGCAAUUCUCCAAGCUUCUUGUCGGCGACCUGUUGAUAAGAUAAACUGCACAAGAAACAACUUCAGCACAAAAUCUUCUUGAUAACCUCUUCUUCUUAAGAAAACAUCUAGCCAUCUCCAUAAUUGUUUUGUUCUUUCUUUCACACACACUUUUUUUGCUGAGUUGUAUGGCAGAUUGUUAUUUCAUGCUGAAUGCCACUGUCUCUGCAAUAUUUCUCAAUUUAUUUUGAAAAAUAUUCACCUCUAUGAUCUGUCCGCAAGGUGUUAAUUUUUAGCCCAGUAAAGUUCUUCACUUCUGCCUUGAAAUCUUUGAAUCUCUGGAAAGCCUCUGGUUUUUCUUUGACAUAAUACACCCAUAACUUUCUUGAGUAAUCAUCAAUGAAAGAGAUAAAGUAACAAUUACCUCCCAAAGAUGAAACUGUCAUUGGACCACAAAGAUCCGAGUGAAUAAGUUGCAAUGGUCUUCUUGCUUUCCAUGAGGAUUGAGAAGGAAAAGUAAUUCUGUGUUGCUUUCCAAGCUGACAAGCUUCACAAACAUCGUCAAGCCGAUCGAUCUUUGGUAAACCUCUGACCAUCAUCUUUCUUGAAAGUAGCUCCAAAUUUCCAUAGUUCAAAUGUUCAUAUCUAUCAUGCCAUAACUUUGAAACUCCUUUAUGAGCACUAAUAAAACAAGACGUCUUCUGAUUUUGAAGGGUGAGAGAGAAAAGAUUAUUUGAUGCUACUCCAACUCUAGCAACAACCUGAUUUUUCCUUGACAAGUAACAAGCCAUGUCACGGAAAUGAAUAUCAUGCCCCUUCUUCAAGAGAUGCCUAACGCUAAGCAGAUUAUUUUUAAGACCAGGAACAAAAUAAACUUUAGACAUUUUCUCAACCCUUCCUUACUUUGUUUUCCAACUCCAACUCACCAACACCGCUAACUUUGUAAGCUUUGCCAUCUCCUACUUUUACUUCUCCACAAUCAGAUUCAAAUAACUUUGAGAAUAAAUUUUUGUUACCUAUCAUAUGCUUGCUAGCACCACUGUCUAUGUGUAACACCCCUUACCCGAGACCAUUGCUGGAGUCGAGCACGAGGCGUCAUCUAACUUAACUUACCAAUUCGGAGCAUAAAAAAAUUGCCUUUAAAAUUAAUUUCACUGUUCACAACAAAACUGUCCACUUACGUGAUUGUCACUAAUUUAAUUAUAACUCUAGUUAAAAAACUCAUAAUUUAAAUCUGUAAAUUUUCCCUAAAACUAGACUCAUAUUCCUAUUUACCAUAAAAUUUUCAGAAUUUUUGGUUUGGUCAAUUAGUACUGUUUAUUCAUUAAAGUUUCCACUGUUUCCCUACUCUACAGUUCUGACCUCUUGGAAAUAAAAAUCAAUUAUCUAAUUGUACAGAAUUCAUAUAAUGUUAUCGUUUGUUUAUUUUGAAAAUAGACUCAUUAAGGAAUCUAUACAUAUAAAUUAUGAACCAUAAUCAUUUCUGUACAAUUUAUAAUGAUUUUUUAAAGUCAGAACAGGGGACUUCAAAAACCAUUCUAACCCUAUCUCACUAAAAUUCAAAUAUCUCAAAAUAUAAAAUUCCUUUUCUUACACCGUUUCUUUUACAUAAAAAUAGACUUGAUAAUAUUUAAUCGUAUAUCUCAUUCAGUCUCUAAUUCCAUUUCUACUAUUUUUGGUGAUUUUUUAAAUUCACGUCACUGCUGCUGUCCAAAAACUGCUUCUUUAUAUUAGAUACCAUUUAAACAUACAUAACACCGAAACAUAUUCUUUACUAACCAUUUCAAUAGCUAAUCUUAGUCAUAUCAUUUGAACAUACUCAAAAUGAUUAAGACUCUAUACAUGCCAUAGCUUUAAACAUUUUGAAAACACAUAAUAUCGAGGUGGCUGUGAUAGUGUGAUACAAGCUCCGAUGAUCCCCAAUUCGAGCAAGCUCAAAACACUCGGAUGCAAAACGACUAUUUUUGUAAAUUAGUCGAUAACCUUCUCUUUUCCCCGAUCACUUCCACUAUUUCUUCUUUCUUGAUAAUUGAGCUUAGAAAAAUCAAGAACCCUAGCUUAUAGAACAUGAAAGUUUCGGCAACAACUCUUUAAUAUUUUGAAGAAAUGGACAUUUAUUUUCACUUUAUUUUGUUUUUUAUUCACUUUUGACAAAAAUACCCUUGACCCAUUUACUUAGAUAUUUUUCUAGAAUUACCCUUUUGAGUCCAUAACACUAAUUUAUGGUCUAUUUUCCACAUAAACACUUCCAAUUUCAUGCAAUAAUUCAAUUAAGUCAUUUAAUCACUAAUUAGACACACUUUGCAUUUUUCUCAAUUUAGUCCUAAAAAAUCAAUUAGGCACUAAAUCAUUAAAAUUUCCUAUCCAUAUUUUCAUACAAUAUUUCAAUCAAUCAGUAAUUAAUAAAAAUUUAUAAAAUUAAACUAUUUCACUUCGGAUUUGUGGUUAUAAAACCACUAUUUCGAUUAGGCCCUAUUUCGGGCUAUCACACUAUGUACCAGACAUCAUCAAUCUCUCCACCAUGAGACACGGGCAACAAAGUUUCUUGCUUUUCCUCUUGAUAAUUUUGCACUAUAUUAGCUUCAUCUUUCUCUUCUUUCUUAUACCAGCAUUCACUCGCCAAAUGACUAGGUUUGUGACAAUGAUAACAUUUAAAUUAGCCACGACCUCUUCCUCUUUGAUUUCCAUUUCCAUGUCCACGUCCUCUUUGUGAACCUCUAAAAUUCUAAUUUUGGUUGGCUUCUUUCCAUCCAUUCUCCGUGCUUGCAUCUUCACCUCUUCCACGAGCAUUUCAGCCUCUUCCUUUAAAGUUUCUUCCUCUUCUACGACCACGAUCUCUCCCUCUUUGAUUUUUAAAAUCUUCUUUCUUCUCAUUUAGAGACAACUUUGACUGGAGUGCUUGAUCUAGAUUUACUUCCUUCUUCUUCUUGUUUAAUCUUUCUUCAUGGGCUUGCAACGAGCCUGUGAGUUCAUCAAUGGUCAUGGUACUCAAGUCCUUUGAUUCUUCAAUGGCUACCACAAUGUAGUCAAAUCUAGAAUCCAAAGAACGGAGGAUUUCCUCAACAACACGAAUAUCAUCCAUAGUUUCACCAUUUCUUUUUAAUUGGUUGACUAUGGACAAAACUCAUGAAUAGUAAUCAGAAACAGAUUCUGACUCUGUUUUUUGUAAUCUUUCAAACUCUCCUCGAAGAGUUUGCAACCAAACUCUUUUCACCUUUUCAUCUCCUUUGAAUGAAUUCUGUAAAAUCUCCCAUGCUUGUUUUGCCAAGGUGGCACAAGUGAUUUUUUCCCAAUCUGCUUCAUAUGAUUGAACUCUUUGAUAUAUCCAAAAUAAGGCUUGUUGAUUUUUCUUCCUUGAUUUUCUUAGACUCUCUUUUUGAGCUUGUGUUAAUCCUUCCUCCUCUUCAGCCUCAACUUCAUUAUAACCUUUUUCAACAAUCUCCCAUUCUUCUAGAUAUCCAAGAAGAGCCUUCAUUUGGAUACUCCAUUUGCCAUAAUUUUCUUUGGUUAAUUAGGGAACGGAAGAAAGAGAAAUAGAAUUGUUCAUGUCGAUCAAACUUUGCUCUGAUACCAACUUGUAGAAGAUUGAUUAAUAUUUGGAGAAAUAAAACAAAGAAAAUGAUGAAGAAUAUAAUGGAGAAGAGAAAUAAAUUUUGUAUGGAAGAGAGAAACACCCUUUCUAAUAAACUUUUCUUUUUUAUUUCACAUACUCUACAAAUGCUUCAUCACAUACAACUCUUUAUAUAGGAGUUGUAAGUGACUAUUCAUCCACAUCACUUAAAUGCUAUAGGAGUUGUGACUAUUCAUCUACAUGCAUGUGUGUAACUCUUCAUCUUCAAGUCUCUUCGCAUUUCUAACUCUUCAUAAUUUAUUUUGUGCAAGAUUAAUUUAACUAUGUGCCAACAAUUUAAGGGUUCUAAAGCAUCUUGGGUCUGGAGUAGCAUUAUUGAAGGCAAGGAUUUUCUUAAAGGAACGUUGUUAUGGAAAAUUCAAAACGGAGAAUCUGUUCACAUAUGGGAGGACAGAUGGUUGAGGGGCAAUUGAGCCUCUUUCUUAUCCUGGACAGGUGGAUGAACCAUUACCAAUACUAGCAGCUGAAAUCAUAUGUAAAGAGCGUGAAUGCUGGAAUUUGGCUCCAAUCUCAAAGUGGCUAAACAACAGAGAAAUUGCUGAAAUCCACCAAAUUCCGGUGUAUAAUACUAAGGAGCAAGACAGGUUGGUUUGGCCAUAUAAUAUACAAUAGGGCAAUAUUCUGUUAAGUCCGGUUAUAAAGAGCUGAAGAAGCAAUCUGGUAAUGUGCUUACUUCUAAACCCUCUAGUUCCUAUGUGAUUGAGGUUUGUACCUAGAAAUUUAUAUGGAAACUACAGGUCCCUAGCAAAAUAAAGAUUUUUAUUUGCAAACUGUGUCAUAAUGCUAUUCCUUCAUGGCUUAAUCUUUGGAAAAGAAAGUGUGCGCAAAACUCAACUUGCUCGAUUUUUCAAGAGGAAGUGAAUCUGUUGAACAUCUUAUUUUGGGGUAUGAUUGGGUUAGGGGCGUUUGGUUUGAAGUAUGCUCUGGAUUGAAGAUCAAAAGGGAGGAUAUCAAGUCGUUUGAUGUGAAGUAAAUUUGGGAAUAGGAGUAUGAUGGUUAAGCUUGUAUAUACUUGCUCGUACAUUUGGAAGGUUAGAUGUGAAGUGGUUCUUGGAGGGAAAACUCUGGAUGUUGGACAGACCAUUCGAAGGAUCAAAUUGUCAUCUCAGGAGUUUCUUAAAGUUCAAGAGCAAAAGGUUGAAUGUGGUCCAUUAUUUGGUAGUAAAGAAUUACUGUUGAUUAUAAUUGGAUGAAUCCUCCUGAGAAUUGGAUUAAAAUAAAUUGUGAUGCAAGCUUUAAAGAAGAAUCUGAGAUGGCUAGGAUUGGGGUAAUUGGAAGAGAUUGGACUGGUUCGAUGAUUGAUGGGAUUGAGAAAGAAUUGAAGGUUUGUUCUGCAGAAGCUGCUGAAGCAUGGCCAGUUUUAACAGGGAUUGAGCUUGCAGUGAAGAAUCGAUGGGCUAAAAUUAUUAUUGAGACUGAUUAUUGCUAAACAGAUUGAGGUUGGAGGAGCAGAGAGGAGAAGGAGCAUUGGUCCCAUUUUGCAUAAAUUUGAUAGGCUGUUGAAUGAAAUAUCAGAGUUGAAGUUUCCCUCAUUAAGCGCGAAGCUAAUAGAGCGGCUGAUUGGAUGGCUAAGGCUUCUCAAAAGGGGAUGUGCAACAAUGGUUGGACUUGACAACCACCAUCUUCUUUGGUGUUCAUUCUGGACAAGGACGAAUUUCCUACUCCCCCUUCGAACUGAUAUUCAAGCUAGUUUUACAGUGAGGUAGCUGUGGCUCUCUUGUACUUGUGAGUCAAAUUUUUUACCACAACUUUUUGUAUUUUCUGAUAUAAUGAAAGUUUUGAUGUUUUUAUGGCAGAAAAAAAAAAACUAAUUUGUAAGCUUAGAAAUAUCUCACUUCAUUACAAAGUGAAAAUAAAAUAAAGCCAAAACUAUAAGAUGUAUAUAUAUAAAAAAUAAAGGGAGAAUAUUUAAUGUAUAGGUAGGGGUUAGUGUUCAAUUGAAUCUAGUAAAAAUAUUUCAAGUUAAUCAAGUUGAUAAAUCCUAUUUUAUCAUUCUAAUUCGAUUAUUAAAUUUUUUCGAAUUGAAUUGAGUGAAAUGAAAUUCGAGCCAAGUCGAAUCGAAUCGAGUGAAAUUGUUCAGUUAAAUUAAAAAAUUAAAUAUAUCAAAUUAAAAUCUUGUUACAGUAUAAUUAAUUUAAUGUUAGAACACCUAAAAUUGAAACUAUAUAUAUUUGAAAACCUUUUCAAAGCAUAAUAAUAAUAAUAAUAAUAAUAAUAAUAAUAAUAAGAUACUUUAGUAUUAAAAACAUGAAUAAUUAAUUAACUUAUUUAUGUUUCCAAAUUUAUUAUUUUAAAAAAUUUAAAAUUUUAACUUUCUUUAUAUAAUUUUUAAAUUUUUUUAAUUUUUUUUAAAAAAUAUAAAUUUUAUAAUUUUUAUAAAUAUUUUGAAUUUUAAAAAUUGUUUUGAAUUUUUUUUUUUGUUGAGAGAGAUCAAUUUGCUCCUUUUCAAAAUUGACACGGAUUAAAGGGGUAUUUACACCAAUCUAUUAUUUGAGUUGUAAAAUUCAACUCGACUCGAACUCGAAUAACUUAAAAUUCAAUUUUUUUAAUUUUUUUCAAAUUGAAUCGAGUUUUGUUCACCCCUAACCGUAUGUGCAUAGAUUUUAUAUACCAUCAAGUGAUAAUCAAAUGACACAUUAUUACUAGUGUAAAAUAAAAAUUAUUGAAGGGUUUAAAAAUAGUAGACAUUGGUGAACAUUUUCAUAAUGUUCUUAUUAUUCAUUAGUAUUGUUGUUUGAGGUUUGAUCAAACUCUUGAGAUUGGUUAGAGGUAAAGCUUGCAGAAGAAUUGGUUCUUUAGGGAAAGGAAACAUAAUUUAAUUUUCUUAUUUCCUACAAGCGGGUUCUAUUAUGAGAAUUUCUGAAUUACUAUCAUUGCCUAUCAUUCUGCCACCAAUUUGACAUUAGAAAUGAAAUUUCUCUUAAAAAACAUGUUUCCAUAUAAAAUAAAAAAAUAGAAGAAAGAAUAUUUCAGAAUAUUAUAAAGAAAACCAAAGUAUAGGAAAUACAGUAAAUAAAAGAAAAUACAAAAAUUGAAAAAAAUAGAUAAAUGAUAAAAUGUUAUAGAUGUGAAAAAUCAUGACACAUGUCAAAAUCCCUAAUGCAAAAAUUGUAUUAAAGAUAUCAAAUAUCAAACAUAUUUUGUAAUGAUAAAAGAUAUUACCCAAGACAUUAUAUUAGGAACCCCUUUAUAUCUUUACUCAAACCUUACAAAGUAACAAAUCACAAAGUUAAAAAUCUUAACUUAUUAACAUUUUUAUUCAUUACAAAUCAAUAAUUUAAUUAAUCAUAAAUAGAACAAUUUUUUUUAAAGAAGAAAUAUGUUUUUUUAAAAAAUUAAAUGAAAAAUUAGAAAAAAACAGAAGUUCAAAGGAGAAUAAAUCAAAUCAAAGAAGAAAUCGAGUCAACAAUAUGCUCUGACAUCUCUAAUGCCUUUUGGAAUAGGAAAAAACAUGAAGUAACAUUACCAUAUGAAAAUGAUUUUGUUGAAAGACAAAUCCUAACAAAAGUAAAGCCAAUAAAAAUGAAUAAAGAGAUGGAAACUUUUGUUAAAAAGAAAGACAAGAUUUUCUUAAUAAAAAAUUAAUAAAAAAAGUAACUUUUCUUACAGUUGUUCAGCAUUUUAUGUGAUGAAAAAUGCAGAACUUGAAAGAGGAACACUAGUAUUAGUCAUUAAUUAUAAACCUCUCAAUCAAUGUAGAAAGGAAUUAUUAUUACUAACAUAAAAAAAAAUCAAAUUCAAAACUUGACACCCAAAAAAAUUUGGAAUCUAAAAUCCGAAAGAUCAAUAAAAAUUAUAGCUAAUAUUUAAUUAUGUUUAACUAAAAAAUAAAGUUAAAUGUAUUUAUUUUCAAGUCUUUCAAUACAUUUUAUUUUAUACCAAUAAUGAUCUUUCAUAUUAUUAACUGAUGGUGCAUGAAACCUAAACACUGACAAUGCAUCAAAUAUUAUCUCAUAUAUAAAGUUAACAACUAUAUAUUGAAUUCAUGGUUGAAUAAGAAUAUAAAAUUAGGAGACAGAUCCCUAUUUUUUGUAGAGGUAACUUCAAUGUUGAAAUUGUUACUUAUAUGUUUCUACGUGUUUUUUUUUCAUAAUAAUUUAUUUGACCUUUCAACUUUACAAAAAGAAAUCAUUUUAAGUUUCUACUUAAAUUUUUGUUUCUUUUAUCUUUUAAACUUGUAUUGUUUGUUAACGUCAAUCCACGUGAACUGACACGUAUUUACUACAUUAGCAAUUGAUUAAUUUUUAAAAGAUUAAAAAUAUAUUAUAUACCUUUUUAAUAAUUUUAAAUUUUUAAAAUUUGAAAGAUUAAUUAAUUGUUGAUAUGUCAGUCACGUUUGUGUGAUAUCAGUAAAAUUAACAAAUAUUAACUUUUAUUUUAUUUUAGUAUAAAUUUAAAGAUUAAAAAGGGAAGAAAAAUUAAAUAAAAAAUAUUAUUAUGCGUUUGAGAUAAAUGAUGAGGCAAAGUACAACAAAGGAGUAACAUCAGACAAAGCCAAACACCAGAAUCACAUCAGAAGAGUGCAGAAGAACCUCUAGUGGUGCAAUCAAUUAUCAAUUAGAUAGCCGUGUUUAUUAGUUAAUAUAUUAAUGUAAAAACAAAACUUUCCAUUCAAGCAUAUUUUUUAAUAUAACAAAAUUCAGCUCCAUACUAAAAGUCUCAUUGCUUUAAUACCUUAUCCUUUCAGGAUCUCAAAUACAAAGUUUUAUUCCCUUUUUUUCCAACAAAAAUUUAUGCCUAAUACACAAAUCACUAUUUUUUCAAAGGGAUUCAAAGUUUAAUGAAAAAAUGGGUUGAUGUUACAUUUAAAGUUAUUUAAUUAUUAAUACGAAUACAGUAUCAAUAUAAAAAAUAUUUCAAACAUAUUAUUAACAUCUCAAAAUUUAAUAUGAAUUUCAUGUGAUAGCUUGAUGGUUAAGGGUGUUCAUCAUUCCAGUUGUGACCUGAGUUUAAAUCACACUAGUUAUAUGUAUACUUAUGCUUUGGUGACUAUUAGGUUACCAGGAUAAUGAUGUACAUGGAGUUUUGUAAUUACUAGCAACUGACACUAGUUAGUAAAAGAAAAUUAUUUCAAUAAUUCUUAAAAAUAUAUAAUUAAGAUUCAAGUAUAUUUUGGAAAUUUUUAAUUUAGAGAUGACUUUUAUGUACUAAUUUUUUUUAUGUAAUACAUCCGUUGAAAUUAUUUAUUUAAUUAUGUGAUGUGAGUUUAGUUUUAGUCCCCAACAAUUAUAUUUUAAAUACACUAAAUUAUUAGUAAAUUUAUGUUUUAGUUAUUUAAUUUUAAAAAAUUACAAAAUGGUCAUUGAACUAUUUGAAAGUUUUUAUUGAAGUCAUUAGGCUAUUAAGGUUUUACUUUAAAGUCUUGCUAGCAAGCUUCAAGCAAUGAUUCGAUCCAAGUCGAUUUGACUAUCAAUGUCAAUGAUGGGAGAAAAAUUUUGUUUGAAUUUUGGUUCGCAGAUUCAUGAGUUUAAAAGUUAUUUCUUGAAAAAAAGGUGAAUUGUAGAAGAGAAAGGGAAUGAGAGCUUUCGAUAGAUACAGGUGGUGCAAAUAGAGAAGGCCAUACAAUAAUUUUAAUAGCUCAGUGACUUAAAUGAAAAUUUUUGAAUAGUUUAAUGAUCAAUUUGUAACUUUUUUUUUUUAAAUUGAGUAACGAAACAUAAACUUACUAAUAGUUUAGAUCACAAUGGAAGUAGUUUACCUUUAUAUUGUUAAUUUAUUAUACAAAAUUUAUUUAAUUUAAAAAUAAUACUUUAUCAAAAAAAUCCAAAUAGGUUAAAAAUAUUUCUUUAAUUGAAAAGAAUUUGUACUUAGAAGUGAAAAGACACAUCAAGAAUAUGAAUAAAGAAAAGGAAAAGGAAUAUAAAAAAGUUUUGAUGUGAAUGAAGUCUACUAAUUUCAUGCGCAUAAACGUCCUUAUUAUGGACAAUGCAUGCAUGGUGUAAACUAGUAUAUAAGUAGGUGUGUAUUGCAAUAUUUGAAGCAUAACACAACCAAAACAAGCUUUAGCUAACCAAAGCACAUACAAAGCUACCAUGGCUAAUUUUCAAAUGAAAAAAGUUCAACAAUGCACACACGGCAAGCUGUGGAACUCUUCCAGCGAAGCUCUAACCUUGACCGACAAGAAAGUUUGGCAAGGCUCUCAUUAUGCGGAUUUCCCAGAAAUAAUUGAAGAUGGGGAUGCGAGUGAGUUUACACAUGAAUCAGUGACUGAUGAUGCUGAUAUUCAUGGUUCAGUUGCUGGUCUUGUGUACAGGCGACGUGAUGGAACUAAGUGGAUUGUUGCCUGGAGCAACCCACAAGCUGAGAACAGCAAGGUAUAUAUUGCAUUCAAUUCAAUCUUACCAUUAAUUAACUAAUUAGAAUGUGUAUAAAUAAUCAUUUAAUUUAUGAUUCAUUUCAUGCAUGUUGCAGGUCUAUACUGAUAUCCAGAGACAACCUGUUCACUGGGGGCAAAUCAAAACCAACCUUGAGAAAAGAGGAAAACCAAAAUUUAAAGUUACAAAGUUUGGUUACAAUGCAUCUAUUGAAAUUGAUCCCGUGAGUCGUUCACCCACAAUGAAGGCAUCAUUUGAGUUAGAGGCAUAACUGCCUUAUCGUCUUCAUCAAG
rnacentral:lncRNA from 1 species